rnacentral:antisense_RNA from 1 species
AGUCAUGAUUACUAUUCUCCGUAAAUAGUGAUUGUGAUUAGCGGUGCGGAUGUGUUGCAGCACAUCCGCACCGCGCU